UAGAGUUUGAUCCUGGCUCAGAUUGAACGCUGGCGGCAUGCUUUACACAUGCAAGUCGAACGGCAGCGCGGGCUUCGGCCUGGCGGCGAGUGGCGAACGGGUGAGUAAUAUAUCGGAACGUACCCAAGAGUGGGGGAUAACGUAGCGAAAGUUACGCUAAUACCGCAUACGAUCCAAGGAUGAAAGCAGGGGACCGCAAGGCCUUGUGCUCCUGGAACGGCCGAUAUCUGAUUAGCUAGUUGGUGAGGUAAAGGCUCACCAAGGCAACGAUCAGUAGCUGGUCUGAGAGGACGACCAGCCACACUGGAACUGAGACACGGUCCAGACUCCUACGGGAGGCAGCAGUGGGGAAUUUUGGACAAUGGGGGCAACCCUGAUCCAGCAAUGCCGCGUGAGUGAAGAAGGCCUUCGAGUUGUAAAGCUCUUUUGUCAGGGAAGAAAAGGGAGUGGCUAAUAUCCAUUCCUGCUGACGGUACCUGAAGAAUAAGCACCGGCUAACUACGUGCCAGCAGCCGCGGUAAUACGUAGGGUGCAAGCGUUAAUCGGAAUUACUGGGCGUAAAGCGUGCGCAGGCGGUUUCGUAAGUCUGUCGUGAAAUCCCCGGGCUUAACCUGGGAAUGGCGAUGGAGACUGCGAGGCUAGAGUUUGGCAGAGGGGGGUAGAAUUCCACGUGUAGCAGUGAAAUGCGUAGAGAUGUGGAGGAACACCGAUGGCGAAGGCAGCCCCCUGGGUCAAAACUGACGCUCAUGCACGAAAGCGU
rnacentral:rRNA from 1 species